GGAAGGAUCAUUAACAAAUCAAUAGCUGUAGUAGUUAGAGGGGGCAACCUCUCUUCUCUACACAUACACCCGCUCCUAGCAGCAAUGCUAGGUCGGUUCUUGGUCAUGUGAUAUAUAUAUAAUGUGAUGUGUGUGUGUGGUGUGUGUGUGUUGUUGGCUGUGUGUAGCAAUGCACAUGGACACAUAGACACACACACACACACACACACACAUACAACACACAUAUUAUAAUAUAUUAUAUGGGUCAAGAAGACCGUAGUUGCAAGACUUUGGUCACAUAGACGCUUGUUUUGGUUUGACAGAGUUGUAAUAUGAAACAAAAAAUUAUAGACAACUUUUAACAAUGGAUCUCUUGGCUCUUGCAACGAUGAAGAACGCAGUGAAAUGCGAAAAGUAAUGCGAUUUGCAUGAAUCUGUGAGUCAUCAAGUCUUUGAACGCACCUUGCACCAUAUGAGCAAUUGUAUGGUAUACCUGUUUGAGAAUCGUAAAAACACAUCCUUCUUUUGGCUCCAUAUGCUAUGCUAUGCUAUACUACUAUUAUUACUAUUACUAUCAUUGUGGUUGUGAUUAUUGUGGUGGGUGUGGUGUGUGUGUGUGGGUGGUAAAAGAGGGGACUUGUCGGACUUGGGUGUAAAAAAGUCACAGUCCGAUUAAAUGUAGUAGGUUUGGAUCAGGCUAGUGGCCUGGGACAUUGUGUGCUAGAGACGAGAGUCUUCUCACAGUGCGUCCCGGAUCAAUUCAAACUAGCCUGUGGUAGAGCCUUUAACCAGCGCACAGGAGCAAUCCUGUGGCUACCUUUUCUCUUUGAUCUCAAAUCAGGUAAGGCUACCCGCUGAACUUAAGCAUAUCAGUAAGCGGAGGAAAAGAAACUAACAAGGAUUCCCCUAGUAACGGCGAGCGAAGCGGGAAGAGUUCAAAUUUAAAAUCUGGGAGGCUUUGCCUCUCCGAAUUGUAAUUUAAAGAGACGUCAUCUGGGUCUAGUCUGAUGCUCAAGUCCCUUGGAAUAGGGCGUCACAGAGGGUGAGAACCCCGUCUGGGCAUUGGUGCUAGAUCCUCCAUGAGGCGUCCUCUACGAGUCGAGUUGUUUGGGAAUGCAGCUCAAAAUGGGUGGUAAAUUUCAUCUAAGACUAAAUACUGGCAAGAGACCGAUAGCGAACAAGUACCGUGAGGGAAAGAUGAAAAGCACCUUGAAAAGGGAGUUAAAUAGUGCGUGAAAUUGUUAAAAGGGAAACGAUUGAGAUCAGUAUUACUGCUUUGGCUGUUCAGCGUUGCUUCUGCAACGUGCAUUCAGUCCAGCAGUGAGUUAGCAUCAGUUUGGGCUUCCGGAGAGAGGUCAGAGGAAGAUGGGGUUGUCCUUCGGGGCCACUCUUUAUAGACUCUGGCUGGCACGUGGAGCCCGGACUGAGGUAUGCAGCCGUAGUACUCACUAGCCGAGCCUGAUCCCCAUGGUUAAGGACUGCACGCAGACCUUCACCGCAAGGAGCCAGAGGUAGGCCGGUGCAUACGGUUCCAAGAUGCUGACGAAAUGGUCUUAAACGACCCGUCUUGAAACACGGACCAAGGAGUCUAACAUAUGUGCGAGUAUUUGGGUGGCAAACCCGAGUGCGUAAUUAAAGUGAUAUAGGUGAGAGCCUUGCCUCUUGGCUUGGUGCAUCAUCGGCCGAACCUUGACGUCUUCUGAUAGGUUUGAGUAAGAGCAUAUCUGUUGGGACCCGAAAGGUAGUGAACUAUGCCUGGAUAGGAUGAAGCCAGAGGAAACUCUGGUGGAGGUCCGUAGCCGUUCUGACGUGCAAAUCGAUGGUCAAAUCUGGGUAUAGGGGCGAAAGACUAAUCGAACUACCUAGUAGCUGGUUCCCUC
rnacentral:misc_RNA from 1 species